CCUACGGGUGGCAGCAGUAGGGAAUCUUCGUCAAUGGGCGCAAGCCUGAACGAGCGAUGCCGCGUGAGUGAAGAAGGCUUUCGGGUCGUAAAGCUCUGUUGCGGGGGAAAAAAGGCAGCAUCAGGAAAUGGGUGCUGACUGAUGGUGCCCCGCCAGAAAGUCACGGCUAACUACGUGCCAGCAGCCGCGGUAAUACGUAGGUGGCGAGCGUUGUCCGGAAUGAUUGGGCGUAAAGGGUGCGCAGGCGGUCCUGCAAGUCUGGAGUGAAAUGCAUGGGCUCAACUCAUGCAUGGCUUUGGAAACUGGAGGACUGGAGAGCAGGAGAGGGCGGUGGAACUCCGUGUGUAGCGGUGAAAUGCGUAGAUAUAUGGAAGAACACCAGUGGCGAAGGCGGCCGCCUGGCCUGUUGCUGACGCUGAGGCACGAAAGCGUGGGGAGCAAAUAGGAUUAGAUACCCCUGUAGUC
rnacentral:rRNA from 1 species